UACGAAGGGGGCUAGCGUUGCUCGGAAUGACUGGGCGUAAAGGGCGCGUAGGCGGAUGGCACAGUCAGAUGUGAAAUUCCUGGGUUUAACCUGGGGGCUGCAUUUGAUACGUGUGAUCUAGAGUGAGGAAGAGGGUUGUGGAAUUCCCAGUGUAGAGGUGAAAUUCGUAGAUAUUGGGAAGAACACCGGUGGCGAAGGCGGCGACCUGGUCCUUAACUGACGCUGAGGCGCGAAAGCGUGGGGAGCAAACAGG
rnacentral:rRNA from 1 species